GUAUAUAUAAAUAAAUAAAUGUUUCGCAUUUUUAGUGUAGGUAGAUCUCUUCGACUGGUCAUGUUAAUAGUAGCUCGCAAGUCAAAAAAGUGUGGGCACCCCUGAUAUAUAGCAUUAGUAAUAACUAAAAAAACGGUGUAAUUACCAGUCUUGCCUCCCCACAAAGUCUGUAGGUUUGUGCUGUGUUUGUAUGUGUGAUCUGAGCGCCAUCCGGUGGACAGACGACAUUUUUAUUUGAUACUCGCGCCAUUUUUGCGUUGUGUAUGGGCGCAACCAAGUGCAUAAUUGGAGGGGGGCACUCACCCAUUUUCCUUAACAAACGGAAAUAUAUUAAAAAUGAGUAGACGUAAAUAAAUAGAAUAGAUGAAAAGACAGAUCAGUUUGAAAGGUUCAUUAAAGGGGGACAUAUAGAAAACAUUUUCUACUGUAUAUUGGGAGAGAAAGAUUGGUAUUACCUCAACAUUGGCGGGGACACGCCCCCCCUCAAAAAGAAUACGUGGUUACGCCCAUAGUUGUAGGAGACACAGCAGCGACGGAGUCGGAGUAGGAGACACAUUUUUCCUCAGGAGUCACGACACAGCAGACACGGGGUUUUCUUUCUUCAAUUUUAACUUUUCUCAGGAGUUUAAGUCAUCUGGUGGGCGUGGUUGAGUGCGCAGGUGCGUCAUUCAAACCGAGCGAGAUGACCGUUGAGGAUCAGACAGCGCGAGACAGCUCCUUUCAGGGUGGUUCCUACUAGGUCUGCUAAUGGGACCGCCCUCCUGACUGGCUGCCUAUAAAGUCACCCGCUCUAGCGGUGCUGAGCAGCGAGAUGUCACAGAGAAGAGUGUGUCCUCACUUGACUCAGCUACCCUUAUAAAUGGCUCCUCAUGGUUUUCUCUUAAAAUUAAGGCCUUCCUUGCGAGACAAGAAUCUUCACCAUCUGAAUUAUGAGUAAGUUACAUUUUCCUGUAUUUCUAGUUUAUAAUUUAUUUUCAUAUUUGCUCUAUAUCUCUAUUUUAUAUAUAGUUAUACUGCUUGAAAAACGAUUUACUGUACUUCCUACUUCAUAAAAUCAUUAUAUUACCCUUCUACUGUCCUACAUAUCCUACUAUUCUGUAUUUUAUAGAGUUUUCUAUUAUUAUAAGAUAUUACCCUUAUAAUAUCUUAAUACUCCUUUUUAUUAUUCUUAUAAAGUUAUAAUGUUAUAUGUGUGUGUGUGUGUGUGUGUGUGUAUUAUGUCUACAUGCCCGCCCUUGACUGUACGAGAGAGUGUGUGUGUGUGUGUGUGUGUGUGUGUGUGUGUCUGUGUUAGCACUCCUCAGCUCUUAUACUUCUGUUUGACUCUUCGACUAUUAAACCAUAGUGUAGUACUCUUAAAGAUCUUUAAAGUGGAAAUCCAAUUUGUCAAUAUCUGCCUAAUACCGCUUCUGUAUGUCUAGGUGCCCAUCGUCAUUCCUUCUUCUCCCCUUUACUGGAUCUGGAUCUGGACACUCAUUAUCAGCUUGCGCAUCUAACUGCUGAUAUCAUGGUGCUACUUAACUAUCUUCGCAGCACCCCCUCUGGAAAUGGAAAUGCGGGGUCCGUCCGCCCCCCCGAUACAAAAUCUGCCCCGUGAACGUGUGUAUUGACGCCUCUACACAGCCAAAACCCCCCUCCAGCUUUCAAUCUGAGGAAGAUGUCACCUUCUCUGACCUGGUCCCCGACCAUUCUUCCCUCUUCUCACCUACCAGUCCGCCCCACUCUCAGUGGUCCUCUCACUUCACCUUUGCUGACUUUCCCAUGUUCCCAGGACGCACCCCAUUUUCUUCCCCCCACCACUCUCCUCAAGAUUACGCACCCACCAGUCCUGUGAAUUAUCAAUAAAAUUACAUAUUACUCAUACUAAGUGUCCCUCAUGUUUAUUUCAUGUCAUUUUUAUCCACAACACAGCCCACUUGAAGUACAUCGACAAUGUCUCGAGAGUCCUUGAAUGGAUGAAAUCACUGUGCCAGCGGUACAAGGUCACUCCGGCCAAGUUAUUUCUGACGCGUGUUUCCAAGUUCCUCCAUUAACUCGAUGAGUAACUGUCCAAGGGCCGAGUUGGCUCCACGAGGCUGUGGAGUCUCCAGAGACUGCUGCAGUGGGAGUGCAGACAUCUGUCCGGUCGAGUCGUGCUCCACAGGCAAGGCGUGCGAGCGGAGAAGAGUGAGGGAGUACUUACAGCUCCUGCACGGCAAACUGUUGGACGCUGUCCCUGUUUCACUGGCUGAUCUGAACUCGUCCAGCAGACCCGGACAUGCUCAACCAUUGCAUCGGGCUGCUGUGUGCUCACUUCUUUUCGGUCAGCGGACACAGGACCGGAGUCCUGCAGAACCUCACGACUGAGGAGUUUGAGAACCUCGAGAAGGCUGACUCUUUCUGAUCAAUGUGAUGCAGCACAAACCUGCCUCUGCUUUUGGACUCGCUAAGCUAGCCAUCACCAAGCUGGAGCUGAAGUGGCUGAAAGCUUUCUGCCGCCUGAGGAAGCAUAUGCCGGGAUAUGAGACUUCUGUGGGGUGGCUUUUCUUUUCUGGCACACAGGCCAGGAUUUCUGCGCAUGUCAAGCUUGCCCUGCGGGCACUCGUGGGAAGAGACAUCACUGUGUCGGACAUCCGCACAGCUCUAGCAACCUACUGCGAACGCAAAAGACGAACAACGCAUGCUCGUGACCAAGACGAUGUGCUACAGCAAUUAGCUGAGUCGUGGAGCUGUCGGUCAGCGAGGCGCACUCCGCCCAGUCUGCGCUAGAGUCCGCUGCGGGCAUAGGUGCUACAUAGGCCGGUUGUUUUUGGCUAAUGGCCCUGUGUGUGUGUGUGUGUGUGUGUGUGUGUGUGUGUGUGUGUAAAUAUUUCAUUAAAAUGUUUGAACUGAAUUCCCCUUGUCAAAAGUACAGUAGCAUCACUCGUGGCGAGACCACACAACCGAAAUUUCCGAAAGUACAUGGACUGAGCUCCGGGCGAAGUUCGCAGGCUUUGCCCAGGGAGAGAGCGUCAAUUAGCUGAAUUUUUUCCUCGUUGAUUUCAAUGGUUUAUGCGUUUCUAGUCAGGGCAAGCUACUGUUUGUUGCACCUCUUCCAUCCUCCUCCACGGUCUGAAGCCAGCUGCAGCCACCUUUUCAUCACCGUCACAAUCUCAGCACUUGUUGCCCUUGAUGUUAACGGGUUCUUUCGGACAGCAUCUAAUGAACAUGAGGCAAAACAGUUGACAACUUCUGCAAUUCGAGACACGCUAAAAAGGCUAUUUAUACUUCUACGUCAGACCUUUGCGUUGCCUGAUGUGCACCUCUAAAAAAAACUGUAAUGACGCGUCGUGUGUAUGCAGACAACAGUUGUGAUUGGUCAUUUGUGCAAACAGAGACCCUCCCCAGGAUGAUAAAUAUAUCUGCAGUAAUUUCAUAUUCACUGAGAAUAAAUGUAAUGAAGCAGAUUGCUUGUAGCUUAUAAUAAAAGUGCUGAGGCUUAUUACACACUUAUUCAAGUUACAGUUAAAUAAUGAAUAUGGGCUUAAAGUGCAGUCCCUCAUCUUUAAUUUAAAUGUAUUCACAUCCACAUUGGAGGAAGGGUUUAGGAAUUACAGCUCUUUAAUAUGUAGCCCCCUCUUUUUCAAGGGACCAAAAGUAAUUGGCCAUUUUACUCAAAAGCUGUUUCAUGGACAGGUGUGGGCUAUUCCUUCGCUAUUUCAUCAGUUAAGCACAGGGUAGCUGCAGGUAUCAGCACUUACAUUUUUGGAAAUUUCUUGCCUAUGAUAUUAAAAAGUAUUAGAUUUGAAGACCUGCACAUCACUUCAGUCAUGCUACACGAUGCAUCAGCUUUAAUGGAUUGUGUUCACGCAUAUACAUCCAUUCCUGGGUUUAAGUAAACUACAGCAGGGUAAACUUCUAUAGAGGUAGAUGGGAGACUGUUUGCAUUACCAUUUGCUCCAACAGUGAAAGAAAAAUCCAGUAUUUCCUUUCCAUGACUUUCCAGGAAAGGAAAAAACUAGAGAGAUAAGACUUUAAGGACCUGCAGACAGCCUGUAAGCAGGUAAAAGGUCUGGAGUUGAUUCCAGGUGUGGCAUUCACAUUUGGAAGCUGUUGUUGUGAACGCACAGCAUGCGGUCAAAGGAGCUCUCAAUGCAAGUGAAACAGGCCA